rnacentral:tRNA from 1 species
GGUUUUAUAGUCAAAAAAUGAUAUUAGACUGCAAUUCUAAAGUUGUUUAGUUUAAACUAAGACCU